rnacentral:tRNA from 1 species
GCGGUUAUGGUCUAAUGGCAGGACAAAAGCUUCCCAAGCUUUUAAUCCGGGUUCAAAUCCCGGUAACCGCA